rnacentral:rRNA from 1 species
GUCCACGCCAUAAACGAUGAGAACUGGAUGUCGGGAGGGUCUGCCUCUCGGUGUCGUAGCUAACGCGUUAAGUUCUCCGCCUGGGGAGUACGGCCGCAAGGUUGAAACUCAAAUGAAUUGACGGGGACCCGCACAAGCGGUGGAGCAUGUGGUUUAAUUCGAUGCAACGCGAAGAACCUUACCUGGUCUUGACAUGUCAGAAAUCUUGCAGAGAUGUGAGAGUGCCUUCGGGAAUCUGAACACAGGUGCUGCAUGGCUGUCGU